ensembl:miRNA
AGGUAAAUAUGAUGAAACUCACAGCUGAGGAGCUUAGCAAGUAGCUAAGGCCAGAGCUUGUGUCUGGGUGGUGUGGCUG